CAUGGCUUGUAAAGUAAAGGUGGCUAUGAUAUUUACCAAAUUUAAAUCCGUUCCAACAAAUCCAACAUGCUGUCAAAAUUAAAUCAAUAUGUCAAUAUGGCUACUGGGUGUAAAGUGUAAAAGAUAAAUCUUAUUCUAUCUGUUCUUAAUGAGUUUUAGAUAAUUUUAGUUGUAUUUCUUUGUAAUUUUGUGUUGUACAAAGAUUAAUUUAACAUUUUCUCUGGAAGUAUUAAUUUAGAAAGAUAAUUAUGCUUCAUUGGUGUUGUGUUUUGAAGUGUGAAAUGCAAAGUAAUUGUGAUAAAGUUCACUUUUAAACUGAACUAAAUAAGGUAUCUGAGAGACAACAAUGGUUAAAUGCAAUACAAUGUACAGGUUUUACUAGCGAAAUGAAAAUUUUCCUGUCCUGUCUGCUGUAAUCAUUUUAUAUCUGGAAAACCAGCCGACUUAAUCGAUAAUAACAAUCUCCAGAUUGGGUUCCUUCAAUAAAUAUGGGCUAUAAACACAAUGAAAUAAGUUCCCCAAAAUCUAAAAUGGAGUGGUAUCAAAGGAGAAUUAAAGGAAAAAAUAUUCAUAUUGAAAUUAUUUAUAAGGCACUGGACUGUCUUAAAUUCUACAAUAAUACUAGAAUCAGCUGAGAGAAGUGGUCUACAAAAAACCAGGAAGGAAACGGAAUAUGUGGCUACGAAAGGCAAAAGAAAGGUUUACAAAGCAAAUGUGACACAUUUUUUUGAAAUAUUUAGGAAUAUCAGUAAAUUGCAUUAAAAGAAUGUAUGAAAAGAUUUUGUUCAAUAAAAAUGUUUAUAUUUA
rnacentral:lncRNA from 1 species